rnacentral:misc_RNA from 1 species
GAUGAGAACGUAGCGAAAUGCGAUAAGUAAUGUGAAUUGCAGAAUUCAGUGAAUCAUCGAAUCUUUGAACGCACAUUGCGCCCCUUGGUAUUCCGAGGGGCAUGCCUGUUCGAGCGUCAUUAUAACCCCUCAAGCUCAGCUUGGUGUUGGGGCCUGCUGCACUGGCAGCCCUUAAAAUCAGUGGCGGCGCCAUCUGGCUCUAAGCGUAGUAAUUCUUCUCGCUAUGGAGUCCUGGUGGAUGCUUGCCAUCAACCCCCAAUUUUUCUAUGGUUGACCUCGGAUCAGGUAGGGAUACCCGCUGAACUUAAGCAUAUCAAUAAGCGGAGGA